CAGUAGCCGCGGUAACACGGAGGGUGCAAGCGUUAAUCGGAAUUACUGAGCGUAAAGCGCACGCAGGCGGUCUGUCAAGUCAGAUGUGAAAUCCCCGGGCUUAACCUGGGAACUGCAUUUGAAACUGGCAGGCUAGAGUCUUGUAGAGGGGGGUAGAAUUCCAGGUGUAGCGGUGAAAUGCGUAGAGAUCUGGAGGAAUACCGGUGGCGAAGGCGGCCCCCUGGACAAAGACUGACGCUCAGGUGCGAAAGCGUGGGGAGCAAACAGGAUUAGAGACCCGCGUAGUCCCUGUCUCUUAUAC
rnacentral:rRNA from 1 species